rnacentral:rRNA from 1 species
UACGUAUGGUGCGAGCGUUGUCCGGAAUUAUUGGGCGUAAAGGGCUCGUAGGCGGUUUGUCACGUCGGGAGUGAAAACUCGGGGCUCAACCCCGAGCCUGCUUCCGAUACGGGCAGACUAGAGGUAUGCAGGGGAGAAUGGAAUUCCUGGUGUAGCGGUGAAAUGCGCAGAUAUCAGGAGGAACACCGAUGGCGAAGGCAGGUCUCUGGGCAUUAACUGACGCUGAGGAGCGAAAGCAUGGGGAGCGAACAGG